AAUAGAUACCCAGGUAGUCCACGCCGUAAACUAUGGAUGCUAGCUGUUAGAAGUAUCGACCCUUCUAGUAGCGAAGCUAACGCGUUAAGCAUCCCGCCUGUGGAGUACGGUCGCAAGACUAAAACAUAAAGGAAUUGACGGGGACCCGCACAAGCGGUGGAGCGUGUUGUUUAAUUCGAUGGUAAGCGAAGAACCUUACCCAGGCUUGACAUCCUUGGAAAGCUUCCGAAAGGAAACUGUGCCCUCGGGAACCAAGUGACAGGUGAUGCAUGGCCGUCGUCAGCUCGUGUCGUGAGAUGUUUGGUUAAGUCCAUCAACGAGCGCAACCCUUUUAGUUAGUUGUAUUUCUCUAGCUAGACUGCCCUGGUAACAGGGAGGAAGGAGGGGAUGAUGUCAGGUCAGUAUUUCCCUUACGUCUGGGGCUACAAACACGCUACAAUGGCCGGUACAAAGGGCAGCCAAGUCGCGAGACGGAGCAAAUCCCAUCAAAGCCGGUCUCAGUUCGGAUAGCAGGCUGAAACUCGCCUGCUUGAAGCUGG
rnacentral:rRNA from 1 species